rnacentral:rRNA from 1 species
AACGAACGCUGGCGGCAUGCCUAACACAUGCAAGUCGAACGAGACCUCCGGGUUUAGUGGCGCACGGCUGCGUAACGCGUGGGAACCUGCCCUUAGGUUCGGAAUAACUCAGAGAAAUUUGAGCUAAUACCGGAUGAUGUCUUCGGACCAAAGAUUUAUCGCCUUUAGAUGGGCCCGCGUUGGCUUAGCUAGUUGGGAGGGUAAAGGCCUACCAAGGCGACGAUCCAUAGCUGGUCUGAGAGGAUGAUCAGCCACACUGGGACUGAGACACGGCCCAGACUCCUACGGGAGGGAGGAGUGGGGAAUAUUGGACAAUGGGCGGAAGCCUGAUCGAGCAAUGCCGCGUGAGUGGUGAAGGCCUUAGGGUAGUAAAGCUCUUUUACCCGAGAUGAUAAUGACAGUAACGGGAGAAUAAGCACCGGCUAACUCCGUG